CCUACGGGUGGCAGCAGUGGGGAAUAUUGGACAAUGGGGGCAACCCUGAUCCAGCCAUGCCGCGUGUGUGAAGAAGGCCCUCGGGUUGUAAAGCACUUUCAGUGAGGAAGAACGCCUGGUGGUUAAUACCCAUCAGGAAAGACAUCACUCACAGAAGAAGCACCGGCUAACUCCGUGCCAGCAGCCGCGGUAAUACGGAGGGUGCGAGCGUUAAUCGGAAUUACUGGGCGUAAAGCGCGCGUAGGUGGCUUGAUAAGCCGGUUGUGAAAGCCCCGGGCUCAACCUGGGAACGGCAUCCGGAACUGUCAAGCUAGAGUGUAGGAGAGGAAGGUAGAAUUCCCGGUGUAGCGGUGAAAUGCGUAGAGAUCGGGAGGAAUACCAGUGGCGAAGGCGGCCUUCUGGACUGACACUGACACUGAGGUGCGAAAGCGUGGGUAGCAAACAGGAUUAGAUACCCCAGUAGUC
rnacentral:rRNA from 1 species